rnacentral:rRNA from 1 species
AUUGAACGCUGGCGGCAUGCCUUACACAUGCAAGUCGAACGGUAACGGGCCUUCGGGUGCCGACGAGUGGCGGACGGGCGAGUAAUACAUCGGAACGUGCCCGAUCGUGGGGGAUAACGAGGCGAAAGCUUUGCUAAUACCGCAUACGAUCUACGGAUGAAAGCAGGGGACCGCAAGGCCUUGCGCGGGCGGAGCGGCCGAUGGUCGCGUAGGUAGUUGGUGGGAUAAAAGCUUACCAAGCCGACGAUCUGUAGCUGGUCUGAGAGGAUGAUCAGCCACACUGGGACUGAGACACGGCCCAGACUCCUACGGGAGGCAGCAGUGGGGAAUUUUGGACAAUGGGCGCAAGCCUGAUCCAGCCAUGCCGCGUGCAGGAUGAAGGCCUUCGGGUUGUAAACUGCUUUUGUACGGAACGAAAAGCCUUCGUUUAAUACAGGAGGGUCAUGACGGUACCGGAAGAAUAAGCACCGGCUAACUACGUG